ensembl:snRNA U6 U6 spliceosomal RNA
GUGCUUCCUUCAGCAUCAUGUAUACUAAAAUUGGAAUGAUACAGAGAUUAGCAUGGCUCCUGCACAAGGAUGACAUGCAAAUUCAUGAAGCACUCUAUAUUUUC